ACCAUAUAAAAACAAUUUGUGUAAGCAGAUUACAAACUCUUUCGAGUCAUGUAUCAUAGUCCUAACUACUUUUUCUAGUUUUACGUCAUCGAUGUGUAGAUAAUUACCUAAAGAAAACCGACGUGUGAACAAUUCUUUGAGGAAUGUAAGCGAAUGGAAACUUUGCAAAGAAGAGCUCCAAAACAAAAGCAACCAUGUUACUUCACCUUUUUUUUAUUUUGCUUGCAUCACACACUAGAAUGUUCCACCAAAAAGCAUUGAUCCUCUAUACUUUGACAGUGGUGGUGUGUACUUUCAAGAUUAUUCUCAAAGACUCCACAAAGUUUUCUUACCCAAAGUAUACUUUUUUUUUAUUUUUGUUAGUACUUUUAUUAUGAGACUUAUCUUUCAAGCUGUGUUCGUUGGCAAAUAUAAAUACACGUCGACAAAGCCCAUAUUUUGCGCUCUAAAGAUCGCAAUCCGUGUCUCCUCUCUCUCUCUACUAUAAUUUUCUCUGUUUCCAAGUCUAGCUUUUAAAUAACUCAGCCCACAGUUCAUCAGUGUGUUUUUGAGUGAUUUUGAUCUUCUAGCUGAAACAUGAGCGAGCCAAAGUAUGCUUAUCCUUACCCUGCACCGGGAAGUUACCCGCAAGGCCCGCCGCCACCUGUAGGAGCACCGCCGCAGUAUUAUCCUCCCCCACCACCACCUGCACCGCCAAGAAAGAAAGCUGGUUUUCUUGAAGGAUUUCUUGCGGCCAUGUGUUGUUGCUGCUUUGUGGAUGACUGCUGCUGCGACCCGACCAUUAUAUGCUUUGAUUGAACUAUAUUUUAAAAUCUCCCUCUCUUUGUAUUUUCUUUUUGUUUAUGAUGGAGGUCAUGUAAUAUUUUUUUCUUUUUCAUGUAAUAAUUGUUGUAUGAAUAAUAUGAUUAAUUAUCCUAUAAGCUGUGUGUUCUUCGCAAAUAAGAAUAAAACGUCGACAGAAGCCACCACACUUUUGCUCUUUAGA